AGUAAUAAAUGUAACUAAUAAUAAAUAAUUCUUUAAAUUAUUAUUACUUGAACAGAAAAAAAGGAAAGUGUUUGAGAUAUGAGGUUCACAUCUCAUAAAAUUUAACUUACCUGUAAAAUAACACAUUUUUAGAUUUUGUUAAAGCUGCUCCUGCAGAAUUGUAUUUCAUGUUUUUAUUAUUGCACAUUUCCGCAGAACAACAACGAACCAUUUUUAUAUUUUAUAUUUUUGUUCGUACAACAUAAAUAGGACAAAUAAUAAUAAUCUCAACACGCGUCCUGGUUGUACCUUUGACUAUAAAGUCUCAAAGAGUCAAAGGAUUGUACCGAUUAUUACUUGAAAUGUAGCUAGGUAAUUCUCAAUUUGACCAAUUUCCGGACCCGGAGGCGCUGAGAUCUUAGAUUCCACUAGAGUCCUAUAUAAAGAGAGAAGCGACAUCGAACCCCCACCACAACCUUCAGUAUCCAAUUGAGUCCUCUACCACCAUUUUGGGACCGCUCUAAUGUCAUCAAACACCAUUCGUAUCAUUCUACAAACAGCUGUGGUCACAAUAUGGCUGCUCGCUUAGCCAAUCAAGUAUCAAUCAGAUUACCAAUCAGAGCUUCGGACAUCAAUGUCGCUUCUCUCUUUAUAUAGGACUCUAGAUUCCACUAAUGGCUGCCGUUAGCAGUCCAGAUAGUCAAAGGGUUGAAGUUGAAGCAGCAAAUCGCGCACGGGGGACGCCUAGCGAUGCUGACAGCCUAUCGCGAUAAUUCGUAAAUUCCCUACAUAAUUUCCGGGUUUGCAAAUCCCCUAUUGUUCCUCUUGGAUUCCCUACCAUUUCUUCUACGAGAGAGGAGCAAGUAAAAAUUGGAGCAAGUGCAAAUUGGAGUUUGCUAGAUUAGACUUCAAAUCGUUAUACAGUCUAUCCUCGUGGAGAGCGAUUGGCGACGUCUCCUGGAAAAAUCCCAGACGUCAGUGUACGUCAAAUACGGAUGAUUAAAAGUGGACCCGUUGGAUAUAUACACACGGGGACCGAAUGACGACAGCCCAUUUUGACCAAAGUAAUUUAUUUGUUUCAUUAAAAACUUAGACGUUGGAAUGCGACUUCUACACGUGUGACGGGUAUAAUAUGUAAAACUAAACGCUACGAUAUUUAUAUUUUAUAACUAUAUGCUUAUUUCUUUUAUGAUUCCUCACGGGUCAACGCAAAUAUAUAUCGUGUAUAUGAGAUAAUAGAAUAAUAGCAGUUUUUAUAUAUACGUAUACAUAUAUGUACACGUAUAUAUAAUGCUCGAUAGCGAUAAUUAAACCUCCAAUGCGCUAACUACCGCGUACUGUCGUCCUCCUCUUCCUCCUCCUCCUCCCUCUACAUUGAUUUUCCUUUUACGAGCGAACAUUCGAUCGUCGAGUCGGGAGACGAUACGCACGCAAGAUACAAAGAGCGAGAAACAAACGGAGAGAGAAAAACGCUACUUGUAAGUUAUGCUCACUUUCUACAGAUUUUUUUUUCCAAGUUUGUAAAUCUACAUCCGUGGCCAAUCCGAUUAUUAGUUGGCAUAAUUCUGAAAUUGGAUGAGAAUGCUCAAGAGAAUCGCGAUUCGUAGCAAUCAAUUUCUGCAGUCUUCGACACAGCUACUCCUUCACUCCUCUUUUUCUCAAUAUCAAACGCGAUUGGCAUCUCUCUCGCCAUCGUCCGUUGCACGUCGCUUCUCGCGUCCUGUUCCAACGUUUCGUUUACGUCCCGGCCCGUCGUCGCAUCGCUCCGUACAUACCGAGUGUCUAGAGGUAUAUUUACAGAAAUGUACAAAGCGAUUACAAUUCCCGUUUGAGCGGGAUGCAUUUCGGUGCAUGUUGCGAAAAGUCGCCGCCUCUCGUUCUCCUGUUCCCCCAGGGUCCCCACUGCGCCGCAGGGGGAGUCAUAUUUUUUUUUUUUACAUAAUAUCUUUAUAUGCAGGUCUACGUCUCUUUUUAUCUUUCCUUUUUACACAACGCCGUGCGACCAACAGCGACUCUGAGGGAUCGGUCCUUCGUACCAGCGAGGCGAUUAUCGAAACUGAAAGUACUUUCGAGCUAGGGGUGAGUUGCGGGGAUCGGCGAUCUGCAGCAGAUUAGAGAGGACGAGAAAGAGAGAUUAUCAUAAAGUGGGA